GGGGCAGGGUGGAAUUUAAUCUGUGCUCACUUUCAUAUGGAAUUCCCUUGGUACAUGUGCUAGGCACAGUGCACAGUCAUAGAGGAUAGCAUUGCAGGUUUGCCUGGAACAGGCUGCUGGACAACCAGGAAUAUGCAGGCAGGCUGGUCUCUGUGAUAGACCAGAGCUGAUCCCACUUCUUUGGGAAGUGGAAGAGUCUCCACAGCCUUUCAGUGCAGCUGCCAGAGGAGAGAGCACUGCCCGCCACUGAGACGCAGGCCUGGCCCCAGCCACCCUACACACCCACACUGCACAGAGGGAGAAAGACCUGUCUGGGCCCUGUGUCCUGCCGCGGUGGGUGAGACUGAACUUGAGCCUUCCUUCUUCCCUCCCAAUAUGCAAAACAAGGCUGCACAUGCCAAUGCUGAAGCCGAGGUGAAAUCCACCGAGGAGGAGGGAAGCCACUGUGAGAUGCUAGCAACGCAUUUUGGAAGCUCCACGAGGAGCAGGAAAAGGAGUGUCUCUUCUCCCUGCCUGAGCUUUCCCCAGUUUCUGUAUUGGAAACUCAUAACUUUGGUUAUGAAGUUAUCAGGACAAAGCUGGAUGUUGAACAGAUCAAUGGAAGCAUAUGGCCCUGAAGCAUUAGUUUGUAACACUCCAAGCUCUGGGGAAUGCUUGUUUAUUUCCAGUGUUGAGCCUGGCAUUAUUAAAACCUACGGAAAGUAUCUCACUAUAUAGCUCUGAAGAAAAUUGAAACGGAUUUAAAUUGCAGAUACCAGCACAGACAUAUAGACCUCCUGUAUCAAAUGAAUUCUUCACAUAAGAAGAGGUUGGCAAGAAAAUCCAAGUCAUUGCAGUGUCAUUUGUAUUUCCUUACAUUGCUUUAUUCUGCAGGGAGGAAAAAGAAGGGCCACUUUUAAAAUUAACUACAAAACAGCCAUACUAUAAAAGGCUCCUCCCAAUGUAAGUAUGUUAUUUCGCCUGGAAAAGUCCUUUUUUGUAGCAAAGCAUUUUGAGGUGAGGGGCUGAUUCUUCUUUGGGAGAGAAAAGGCAUUCUUGUGAGUUGGGUGUUUUCCAUUGUUAGUGUGUUGUAGUUUACAUGAUUUGCUGCCCUUUCGUUUGGACUUCAGUGUGAGCACUUAAAAAAAAAAGAUAUUUGGAACUUUGGCCUGGUGUGUGACUUAUUUGAAUGUGGGGAGGCGGGUGGAUCCUCCUCUUUCCUUUUUGUGCAAUAUUACUUUGUCUUAAUCUCCAGCAUUUCCUAAGAGUUAGCAGUCUUUAAAGAAAGAAAAAAGCCUCCUAUUAGAUAAUUAAGAAGAGGAUAAAAAUAUAACAUGGUUAGUAAAUGUAAAUAUAGUAGCAAUCUCUGAUAUUUCAGUAUUUAUUGAGUGUUGUCAAUAUCUUUUUAUGAAUGUUUUAUGAAUUGUGAAACAAAAGGACAAAAUAACUUAAUAUAAAAUAUUUAUGUAACUAUUAGAAUAUUUAACAUAUUACUAGAAAAUUAUUAGUUAUCAUUUAACACCUCAAAUUGAUUUCGGGGAAUGAAAAUCUAAAAUAAUAUUGUUUCUGCACAUAUUCUAGCCAACAAAUUUCUUUAUUUACCACCGAAUUUCAGUGUCUACUAGUUGUCAGAUAACAUUUGCAUGUUAUGGAGUUUAACAGUUUUUGCUAUGGCUAGCAUUUCACAGGAUUAAAAAAAAAAAAAAUCACCUGCAAAGAAUUAGGUAACAGAGUGUGAAAGGUCUCGGCCAUUCAGGAAAUACUUCCUACUGGAUUUAAUUAGAGAUUAAAAAUAAAAGGUUUUAGUUGCAAACUUCAAACACACAACAACAUGAUAUUUAUUGAAUGCACUAGCAUUGCAGCCACAGUGAAAAGAAUAAAAAACAGUAGAACUCAGUUGCUUUCAAUAAACUUUUCAAAUAUAGUUUUUAUUCAAAAUUAAUUAUAAUUUUAUAGAGAAAAAUCCAUUUUAUAUCUGGGUUUAUUAUGAAAGGCAAGUUACUGAAAGAAGAGCCUUUAAAAUAUGUACAAAACAUUAAAGGCCCCAGUUCUGACCCAAAUGCCACUCACUUUAAUAUUACACGCAUCCACAUAAGCCACAUUUUUAGGGUUCUCUCUGCAUUUUAUAGUGUAUAAACUGAGCAUGUUUUUUUUCUGACUCAUGCCUUAAGAACUUAUACAGAUAUUGGAUUAGCUAAGUUUCUAUCGCACUCAAAUCGGGUGUUUUCCUUCUGUAUCUCAUUUAAGAUGAGCAGUGCUGAUAACACAGUAUUAAAUGUCAAAUGAGCAAAAACAGUGUGCAACGUGAAAGAGUCUCUGCAUUUAAUUUAGAUGGUUCCAGAGCAAGAAACGGGAUGGAAUGUCAUUCUAUUUCCUUAUGAGUCCAUUUUGACAAAAUAUCUUUAAAGCCAUUAGGUAUUGGUCCUACACUUAGGUCUUGCGUCCUAAUCACCUGGCAAUUACCCAUUUUUAUCACUUAUUCUGUAUCAACAUUAGGUUAAUCAGUGUUAAGUAAUAUAGUAAAACUAUAUCUAUGCACAUUUAAUUCUCUAAUUAUGCAGAGCAGCAUUAAACCUGUUCCACUGUCGUGUGUUUAAUUUGUCUGCUUCAAAAUAACCUAUUAGUUGGGUUUUUUUUUUUUAAUUCCUGUCUUAAAUUUGAGGCCCUUUACUUCUGCAAAUGGAUGCUGGUGAUAUAUAAAAGGUCUCCUCUAUGAGUAGGUAAUGAGGCAUCCAAAACGCUACAGUUAAUUAAAUGUACUGAUUUUAUCACAUCAUAAUCCUGAUCUUCAGGUGCUGUAUAUAAUCAGACUAUUACAAAUCAACUGUUAUACAUGAAAAGUUACAUUGAAACGGGACCAGGCAUCUGAUUGAAACAGGCAAAGGGAAAGAAAUCCAUCUUUAUUUGGAGUUAUGGUGUGUGCUAUAGGACUACACCUUGUGUGAUUUGCAAGAUCAGUCACUUCUUUGAGUUUCCGCCUUAACUUCAGAAGUCUUGGGUUUUGUGGGUUGAAGAAGAAAAAUAGAAUUGUUUUGGAGAUUCAGUUUCCUUAUUUUAUGCUAGCAUUAAAGAGAGACAAAAUCCGUGUUAUGGAGGCAUGAAAAUAUAACCUGUAUCGACACUGAAAAGAUACUUCCCAGGUUUUAAAGUGUUCACUUACUAUUCACAGAUUCUUAUUAGACUAUCACAGGCAUAGAGCAACUUGAGGCUUUAUUUUUUAAACAAGAGUUUGAAAUUGUUUGCUUUUAGCUUGUUGGGUUUUUUUUAAAUGGCCAGGAGUGGACCCACAUACUCAUUUAUACAGUAUAUAAUAUCGAAAUCAGCAAGAACUUCACUCACUAACAUCCACCUACAGCCAAGUUGGAUAAAGAGAAACUGCAAUUACAGUGAAAUAGAAUGAGCAAUGGGUUUUUUUUUCUCCACCACAGUGCAACAAGCAAAUGGAAAUUCUGGUUAUAGUGGCUCGAUAUUUAUGAAGUGUAGAGUCCAGAGUGGGGUUAUUACAUGAUACGGAGACCUUACUUAAAAGCUUAUACAGGACACGGGUGUGGGUUAAGGAAGCAAGCGAAGUCACUGAGCAUGUGCCCCAGCCAAUUUUCCAACAUUAAUAAGUUGGCUGUGUAGAAAAAAUACAAAGCAAGGAAAAAUAAUUGACUUUAAAUUUUGCCUUGAAUAACACCUAUGAAGCCCUAAUUAAUUUCAAUAUGGAUUUCACAAAUGCAACAGAGAGCAUAAUUUGUCCUCUUGAGUCAUGAAUUAGCUAAGUCUUGUUUUGUAGUAAAGUGACGCAUGAUACAUUUACAACACUGAGGAAUUUUCUUUCUUUUAUUUCCCUGCUCUUGUGUUGCAUAUAAAAAUAGCCAAACAUACUUUUAUCCCAAGGCAAAAUGUGGCUAAUUACAGAAUUAUAGUUUAAUGUGAGAAACUAGCCUUCCAUAGACUCUGAUUGAGGAGUUUUAUGUUCUAGGAACCAGAGUUGGGUGGGUUUCCAGACCUCUCUAUUUUUAAAUGCCCAGCAAUUAAUUCGAUGAACAUUGUUACCCUUUUGUAAACAAACAAAAAUCUACAGGACUGUAGAGCGUAGUAUGAGAUUAACUGUGCAGUGCAGAAGAGUGAGCAUGUCACAGGGUUUUUUAAAAGAAAUUAUAUUGAUAGGACAGGUUAAGUGUAACACUUUUCGGUUAUUGUUUGUCAUAGCACAUUCAGCGGGGACUGCACUUUGUGGAAAUGUGAAGAGUACAGGGGGCAUUGAACACGGAAUAAAUUAAUUCUGAACAAAAACUGCACCAACUAUAUAUUUUUCUCAGAACAGAAUAUUUGCAGUUUUUUCAACUAAAUUAUUCAAAAUAUUUUUCAUGUAACUCAACACUCAUUCAUUUAUAUUCAUGCGUGUGCAUGUGCAUUCUUUGACGUGUUAUCUAACAAAAUAGCAUUAGUUUACAUUUCUUGCAAAAUAACUGACAUGAUCCAAAUGCCAUUCCUUAACUCACAAUUAGAUUUGAGUGUUCUCCAGUUUUCAUAGGCAUUAACAAUAAAUGGUGUGGAUUCAAUAAUGCCACUAUAUCUUUAUUUCAAGUAAAUCAGAAGAUAUCCACAUGAUAUUUACCCUUUUAAAUAUCAAAUUGGCUACAUUUAAAAAUAAAACCACAAGUAUUGUAUUUAUAUGAACAAUUGCAUUUUGAUCACUGGAAUUUAAUAUUGUUGAAAUCCAUAAAUGUAAAAUAAAUAUAAACAAUUAAAAAAAAUCUAGUUCUCCAGGUUACACAACUAAUCAGCUACAUGCAUCAUAAUUAUUAUUGUAACAACAGCUAGUCAGAUGCCUGACAUUACAUGGUAUAUGGUCCAAUAAAUAAGGAUUUCAUAACAAAACUAAAAAUAAAGCUUGGGUCCAGAUACAAAUUGAACUAUAAAGUAUUAUGUUAAAUGCUUGAGAAAUCUUCAUGUUCAUCUUUUAAAUUCUAAUUUACAAUCCAAUAAAAUAGGUGUCAGAAAAUAAGGGAAACAAACUUGUUCAAAUUUGAUGUUAAAAAUAAUUGAAUUUGACAAUUUUAUGAAAGGAUGUUUGAACUAACAUAGCUACAAAAAAUACAAAUAAAAAAAGCAAUGAUUGGUAUAGGCAAAAUAGCUCUAACAGUCUGAUUCAUGCUUAACAGGUAGACACAUUUGGCUUUUUUUCAAAUUUAAUAUUUAUAUGUUAUGCAUAAUAAAAUCUUGUAUAAUUUAAGGAAGCAAAAAAACCAACAACCAAGAAACACAAUUAAUCUGCACACUACCUAUGUCAUAUUAAUUCACACAAAGAUGACUUUUAAACAAAUCUGUCUAUAGUCUGAUGAUUGCAAAUGUAUGUAACGUAGAAUGUGUCCUUUGCUUCUUAAUUCUUACCUUACCACAACAUAAAGAAUGAAUACUUUUCAUGUCAUAUUAUUCAAAGUGUACAAUUUCUUCUAAAGUCUGUGCCUUGCUCUGAUUGCUGGUGUUGUCUGCAUAAUCUAUAAAUUAGCCUCUAUUUGCAAUAAAUGCUGCCUUUUUGAAUGUA